GUUAAGAGUGUUUUAUUCAUUGACCUUGAGGUUAAGAAAGACAAACCUGCGUCUGACGCCAAAUUCACCAAGCAAAUCUGUUCUUACUUCCUGGUUCAUCUCCACAGCAACAUCUGGACAACAAUACUCCUACACCACUGUCACAACUGGAGCUGAUGUCACUUUGUCCUGUCCAGAUGUAAAAAUUCAGCAGGAUGAUUGUGGGAAAAUUAACUGGAUCUUUAAACGUACACUGGAAAACAGCUUAAAGCUGGUUACGUCUGGAAAAAUAGACACAAAUAAAUUAGACCGACUAAGAUUAACAAAGACCUGUUCUCUGGUCAUAAAGAACGUCGCCAUAAAGAACGAUGUUGGUGUCUACAACUGCACACAAGAAGGUCAAAGGUCGAAUAGACUGGCUUAUUUGUCUGUUGUUACCAGUAAGUAUUUACCUCAUUUAACAGGAGCUUAAACUGUAGAGAAUAAGAAUAAAAGUGAAUAAUAACGAUCAUGAUGCUCUCGUCGUCUCAUCACCAGUGACUGAACAAACAACCGGUGAUCAAGUGACAGUCACCUGCUCUGUGUGGAGCUUCGGGAGUGAGUGUGAAUACAGAGUGAAGUGGCUGCGUGAGGAUAAAGAUGUGAACUCGGGAGCAGCUCCAUUAAACGCUGCUCCACCAGCGUCUCCUUCACCAACACGUCCACGUCUACAACAAACUCACUGACGUGUGAAGUGAUUGACCCUCGUCAGGAAGUUCUGCACUUCCCCUUCAGGCCUCGAGACUCUAACGGAGAAACAGCUUGGUGGCGGUUCAUCGUUGUGGGUUUGGUCACACUGAUUGUAAUAGUCGUCGUCGUCAGAGGACAUAAAACAAUAAAAGCUGAUGCUGAUGAUGGACUUUCUUACGCUUCCGUCGGCUUUAAGAAGCGCGGCGCUAAAGCUCAGGUAACGCUCCUCCACAUUCUGCCCAUCGAUCCAGAGGAAGCCUCCGCUUCACGUGUGCUGCUGGUUCCUUCCAGGUCCAGAGUAGAGAUGAAGGUGAUGAAGAUGAUGGUGAUGAAGCACGGUGAAAGCUGCCUCCUCUGCUGCCGCCAGCCACAAACCGAACAAACCAGCUUAAUGUCUAACAUUUUCUACCCCAAGCCUGUUUUCUGAGAGUUUUCUGAAAAAUGGCAUAGCUUCAUUCAAAUGAAUUUAUCUCUGCAACCACAAAGUCUAUUUGACUGCAAAUAGUGUCAUAAUGUAAGGGACACUUGUGAGAUGUGAUAUGAGGUGUAAAAUUAGUGUAGGUGUUACUGAUGUGAUGUUUAUGAAUAAUAGAAAAGUAAAAUGUUUCAGUUAUAUCUAAAGAGAAAUGCACUGUUAGAAUGAAUAUCUUACUAAAGCAGAGGCAACUGAAACUUCUAACCCAUGAAAUCAUAGCACAAUCGGUGAACAUCAACUCAGCAAAAAGGUGGUUUGCAUACAGUGAAGCAGGACCAAGUUAUAACAAUUUUAAUGCAGUCAAAUGAGCGAAGGAGUUUCCUUGUGUGGAUAUUUUUUGUUUUUCCACUACUAUCCACCUACAACAGCAAUAAAAGUCAUCAAUAUGUCCA
rnacentral:lncRNA from 1 species